CUUUUGCUGAAUGAAAUUUAGCUGGCUUUUUUCAAAACGCAAGACACCUACAUUGUGUCGCAAUCGCCCAAUGGCUUCAGGCUUAAGAUCUGUUGCCAAAUUUUUAAAAAAACGAAUGGCUGUUUUCUGUAUGGGCGUUUCCCACGCGGUCACACGGUCGAGGCCAGCGAGAAAGAGUACGCACCUGUGACAUCUAGAGCUGCAAAAAAUCGAUAGUACCAUCGAUAAUAUCGAUGGUUGGCCGCUGGUCACCGACUUCGGUAUUUUUCAGACUAUCGCGAUAGUUUUACAAAAAAUUCCCAUCACUUGGACUUCGAAGGAACAAGAAGUUUUCGACAGAAAUAUUCAGAUUCUGGUGGUUGUGGUGUUGUUGUGGUUCCUUAAAAAUAAAUGGCGGUGCAAAAAGUUUCAGGUCCCCCUUUAAUGCAGAGCAAGCCGUAUCUUUGCUAGAAAAAACACUUUCUUCUCUACCCCAUACCAACAAGGAACCCAUUUUAACCACCCAACCACCGGAACCACCAAAACCGAAAUCUUCGCUCCUCAAUUUUGUAAAACAAAACAUAGAGCUUAAACAGAGGUCUAGCAAUGUUAAGUUGAUAAUGCAAAUAAGGCAGUAUUUUGAAAAAAUGAACAUUGAUUAAAAUCAGGGCCCAUUGGAAUACUGGAAGCAACAUGAAUUAGAGAUGUCCCAAAUGGCUAUAAGCGCUAAGCAGGGGCUCUGCAUUCCGGCAACCUCGACAGAAGCCACCUACCGGCUAUUUUGGUAUAUAAUAUUUGGGCGUUAGAGUGGGAGUGGCACCCCGUUGAAAGACGCAUCAUAAAAAAAAUAAGUCUACAAGAAAAUUAAGUGUUGGCGAUAUUUUUUCUAAAGCAAAAUGAGUAACCAUAUUGAAUGUACGAAAAGUUAAUUAGAUUUACUUUCACCACACCCCUCACAAUGUUAUAUUCUAAGAACUGAAGAAGUCUCAUAUAAUCCAAUUGCUUCCUUGGACGGCGCCUCCUCAAUCUAAUUUGUUUGCGUAGGAAAUGGGGAAACGUACCGGGAUUUAUCAAGUGUUUACCUACGACUUGUAGUGCAACUUAGAAAAAAUGAUAACAACGUUAUCGAAGGAAAUGCUGUCGGUGUAGUUAACAAUAAUUUACUUUCAAUAUUUAGAAGUUCCUCAGUUUAUUUAAAUAAUAUUGUGGUAUCGCAGAGUGAUAAUAAUUAUCAUUAUAAAGCGUAUUUGCAAAAAAUGUUAAACUAUGGGAGUGAUGCCUGUGGAAGUUAUUUGGCCUCUCAAGGUUAUUUCCCACAUUUUGGAAGAAUAACAGCUGGGAAAUAUGUUUAUCCCUACACGAAUGAAACUCUUAAAAAUGUAUUCCAAAAUAAUAAUAAGGUUGAAUUAUUCGGAAAAAUUUAUGGAGAUAUAUUUAAUCAAAACAAACUGCUUGUUAAUAAUGUUGAUUUAAGAAUUAAUUUCCAUAUUGAAAAAACAGCAUUUUAUUUAAUGGAAACCGACACUGAAUCAAAUGUAAAGAUACUAGAAGCACAACUUUUUAUGAAUCACAUAAUAAUUAACCCCAGCAUUUUAUUGGCUCAUCAUCAUGUUCUACAAACAAAAAAUGCUCUAUACCCAUUUAGCAAAGCCGAAGUCAAAUCUUUUACAAUUUAUCCGGGCAACAAUAAACUAUCAAUAGAUAACGCAGUUAUUGGUCAGCUACCAAAUUUUCUGUCUUUUUGUAUGGUUAAAAACCGUAAAUACUCAGAAAACCGGACCUUAGACCCGUUUAACUUUGAACAUUUCAAAAUUCAACGCUUUAAUCUAUUGGUUAAUGGACUUCAAGUUCUUCCCAGUCUUUAGAAUUUGAUUUCUCUAAUCCGGAAAAGGUUUAAAGCUCCAGAGGUUAUAAUAUGCUAUUUAGAUCAUGUGGAAUAAAACAUUACGAUCGUGGACUGCAAAUUACAUAGGAAAUGUUUGAUACAAACAGUUUUAUAUUACCCUUUGACUUAACUGCUGAUCAAUCAAAUUCAUAUGUAUAUUCAAAUUUGAUCUCGAAAGGAAGGAAGAUUUUCGCAAUCACUUACUGAAGCACUUACUUGUUUAGUAUACUGUGAACACGAUUCCAUGCUUGAUAUUGAUAAACAUAGAAACAUUCGAACGCUUUUUUAAAAUAAAUAAUUUACAAAUUCAACAUUUGCUGUCUAAGCAUCACAAAAAAAAAAACGAUAUAUUUUUAAAGGAGUCUUUCCUUUGGACCAGAUACCAAAAUCUAUUUUAAAGUAUCCCGCUUUAAUAAUUGCGAAUACCGCUACUUCAGAUCAGAAAGGAGCUCAUUGGAUUGCAUUAUAUUUUGAUAGUCGCAGGUUAGCAGAAUUUUUCGAUUCAUAUGGAUAAUAUCCCCAGAAAAAAUAAUUUGUAACAUUUUUAAAAUCUAGCGCCUACAAAUAUUUUUAUAAUAAACAACAUUUACAAGGAUAUUUUUCUAA